rnacentral:rRNA from 1 species
AGUUACCAGCACGUUAUGGUGGGCACUCUAAGGAGACUGCCGGUGACAAACCGGAGGAAGUGGGGAUGACGUCAAGUCAUCAUGGCCCUUACGGCCUGGGCUACACACGUGCUACAAUGGUCGGUACAAAGGGUUGCCAAGCCGCGAGGUGGAGCUAAUCCCAUAAAACCGAUCGUAGUCCGGAUCGCAGUCUGCAACUCGACUGCGUGAAGUCGGAACCGCUAGUAAUCGUGAAUCAGAAUGUCACGGUGAAUACGUUCCCGGGCCUU